UGACAGUUUAAUCCUGAGUCAUCCUAAACACAGGGGUCAAAAGGAUGAAUUAUACAGUAACCAUAUUCAUGUAGGUUCUGAGUUUUGCGAUUGUGACUCUUUGACCUAUCCGAACGUCAGGUACCAUUGCUAGAUGAUCACUUCGAUUAGUACAGGAAUUGGUUCCUGUGCUACCGGCUUAGGUUCGAACCUGCGGGGUCACACACAUUAGAGAUUCCUAUCUGAUCUGAUGGCUGAUGUAGAAUCCUACAUGUUUAAAACUCGAUGAUCGAGAAUCAGGAUUCUCUGAUCAU
rnacentral:lncRNA from 1 species